rnacentral:rRNA from 1 species
AUGCUUAACACAUGCAAGUCGAACGGAAACGAUGGAAGCUUGCUUCCAGGCGUCGAGUGGCGGACGGGUGAGUAAUGCUUGGGAAUCUGCCUAAUAGUGGGGGAAAACUCGGGGAAACUCGGGCUAAUACCGCAUAAUCUCUUCGGAGGAAAGGGGGCCUCUACAUGUAAGCUCUCGCUAAUAGAUGAGCCCAAGUCAGAUUAGCUUGUUGGUGAGGUAAAAGCUCACCAAGGCUACAAUCUGUAGCUGGUCUGAGAGGACGAUCAGCCACACUGGGACUGAGACACGGCCCAGACUCCUACGGGAGGCAGCAGUGGGGAAUAUUGCACAAUGGGCGCAAGCCUGAUGCAGCAAUGCCGCGUGUGUGAAGAAGGCCUUAGGGUUGUAAAGCACUUUCAAUAGAGAAGAAAAGCUUAGAGUUAAUAACUCUAAGCAUUGACGUAACCUAUAGAAGAAGCACCGGCUAAAUCCGUGCCAGCAGCCGCGGUAAUACGGAUGGUGCGAGCGUUAAUCGGAAUUACUGGGCGUAAAGCGCGCGUAGGCUGUUUUAUAAGUCGGAUGUGAAAUCCCCGGGCUCAACCUGGGAACUGCAUCCGAAACUAUUUAACUAGAGUAUGGGAGAGGUAAGUAGAAUUUCCGGUGUAGCGGUGAAAUGCGUAGAUAUCGGAAGGAACACCAGUGG